AAUCAGAAGAUGAGUGACUACUUAAGAGUUCUUUACUGGGUGUGUUUACAGUUUUACAGUGUCAGUUCUUCCUUCAUGGAAUAAGGUUGGUGGUAUUAUUGGUCUCUGCCCGGACUUGAAAUAAGAGGGGAACAUUGGGCCUGCAUUUCUGUGUUUUGUGUCGCUCAAUGAUUUCUCGUUGGAUUGUCCUACCACUAGUCAUCGGUUGGGUUUCUUAGUCUCUCUGC
rnacentral:misc_RNA from 1 species